UACCUGUCCAACCAGAGAUGUCUUUUUCAAAAAUAUAUGCAAAAACACUUGCUCCAUUGGCACAGUAUUCCUCAGAAGAGGAGUCAAAGAAUGUAAAGCAUACCUCACGCCAGAGAAGUGGGUCAGAUUCUACGUCAGCACCUGUGAACAGCCUGCUUGAACCUCCUUCUGCCAACAUGAGGCCCGCAAUAUCUGACAGUAGUUUAUCAAAGAAAAC